rnacentral:misc_RNA from 1 species
GAUGAAGAACGUAGUGAAAUGCGAUACUUGGUGUGAAUUGCAGAAUCCCGUGAACCAUCGAGUCUUUGAACGCAAGUUGCGCCCGAAGCCAUUAGGCCGAGGGCACGCCUGCCUGGGCGUCACACGUCUUUGCCCCCCCCAUCUACUCCUUCGGGAUUGCGGGGGGCGGAUGAUGGCCUCCCGUGCGCCUCGCCGCGCGGUUGGCAUAAAUGCCAAGUCCUCGGCGACGCACGCCACGACAAUCGGUGGUUGCGAAACCUCGGUUGCCCGUCGUGUGCGGUCGUCGCGCAUCGAGGGCUCGAAAAAAUUGCCGAGUUCCGGCUCGGCUUUCAACGCGACCCCAGGUCAGGCGGGGUUACCCGCUGAAUUUAAGCAUAUCAAUAAGCGGAGA